AACGAACGCUGGCGGCAUGCCUAACACAUGCAAGUCGAACGAGACCUUCGGGUCUAGUGGCGCACGGGUGCUUAACGCGUGGGAACCUGCCCUUAGGUUCGGAAUAACUCCCCGAAAGGGGUGCUAAUACCGGAUAAUGUCUUCGGACCAAAGAUUUAUCGCCUUUGGAUGGGCCCGCGUUGGAUUAGCUAGUUGGUAGGGUAAAAGCCUACCAACGCGACGAUCCAUAGCUGGUCUGAGAGGAUGAUCAGCCACACUGGGACUGAGACACGGCCCAGACUCCUACGGGAGGCAGCAGUGGGGAAUAUUGGACGAUGGGCGAAAGCCUGAUCCAGCAAUGCCGCGUGAGUGAUGAAGGCCUUAGGGUUGUAAAGCUCUUUUACCCGGGAUGAUAAUGACAGUACCGGGAGAAUAAGCUCCGGCUAACUCCGUG
rnacentral:rRNA from 1 species